ensembl:snoRNA
AACUAUGAUUACAGGAAGCAGGAUGAUUGGCUAUUCACAGUCAUGUGUGAAAUGUGCUUCCCUUAAACCUUCUUCCACUGUCAACACAUUACCCAUCUGACU